GGUUUCUCUGUAUUGUUCUGGAGGCUGUCCUGGAACUCACUCUGUAGACCAGGCUGGCCUUGAACUCACAGAGAUCCACCUGCCUCUGCCUCCCGAGUGCUGGGAUUAAAGGCAUGCACCACCAACACCCG
ensembl:miRNA